rnacentral:rRNA from 1 species
AUACGAAGGGUGCAAGCGUUAAUCGGAAUUACUGGGCGUAAAGCGCGCGUAGGUGGUUUUGUAAGUUGGAGGUGAAAGCCCCGGGCUCAACCUGGGAAUUGCCUCCAAAACUGCAUGACUAGAGUACGGUAGAGGGUAGUGGAAUUUCCUGUGUAGCGGUGAAAUGCGUAGAUAUAGGAAGGAACACCAGUGGCGAAGGCGACUACCUGGACUGAUACUGACACGGAGGUGCGAAAGCGUGGGGAGCAAACAGGAUUAGAUACCCUGGUAGUCCACGCCGUAAACGAUGUCAACUAGCCGUUGGGAUCCUUGAGAUCUUAGUGGCGCAGCUAACGCAUUAAGUUGACCGCCUGGGGAGUACGGCCGCAAGGUUAAAACUCAAAUGAAUUGGCGGGG